UACGGAGGGUGCAAGCGUUAUCCGGAUUCACUGGGUUUAAAGGGUGCGUAGGUGGGUCUGUAAGUCAGUGGUGAAAUCUCCGUGCUUAACAUGGAAACUGCCAUUGAUACUAUAGGUCUUGAAUUUUCUGGAGGUAAGCGGAAUAUGUCAUGUAGCGGUGAAAUGCUUAGAUAUGACAUAGAACACCAAUUGCGAAGGCAGCUUACUACGGGAACAUUGACACUGAGGCACGAAGCGUGGGGAUCAAACAGG
rnacentral:rRNA from 1 species